rnacentral:rRNA from 1 species
AAACGCUGGCGGCGUGCUUAACACAUGCAAGUCGAACGAAGCUCUGAUCUCCGCGUUUUCGGACAAAGAGAGAAGAUGACUUAGUGGCGGACGGGUGAGUAAUGCGUGAGCAACCUGCCCUUCGANAGGGGGGACAACAGCUGGAAACGGCUGCUAAUACCGCAUGAUACAUUUGGGCGGCAUCGCCCGGAUGUCAAAGAUUUAUCGCUGAAAGAUGGCCUCGCGUCUGAUUAGCUGGUUGGUGAGGUAACGGCUCACCAAGGCGACGAUCAGUAGCCGGACUGAGAGGUUGACCGGCCACAUUGGGACUGAGAUACGGCCCAGACUCCUACGGGAGGCAGCAGUGGGGAAUAUUGGGCAAUGGGCGCAAGCCUGACCCAGCAACGCCGCGUGAAGGAAGAAGGCUUUCGGGUUGUAAACUUCUUUUAAGAGGGAAGAGCAGAAGACUGUACCUCUAGAAUAAGCCACGGCUAACUACGUG